CCGCAGCUCUCAAAAUGACAUUGUACGUGUGCCUAAAGAUCCCCCUUGAAGGCUAAGAGGUGCUUCAAGUUUAGUCGAUGUGGUCACGAAUCUGGGCAAUCACUACGACCCCACCACGGGCAAGUUCAGCUGCCAGGUGCGCGGCAUCUACUUCUUCACCUACCACAUCCUCAUGCGCGGCGGCGACGGCACCAGCAUGUGGGCGGACCUCUGCAAGAACGGACAGGUGCGGGCCAGCGCCAUCGCGCAGGACGCCGACCAGAACUACGACUACGCCAGCAACAGCGUGGUGCUGCACCUUGACUCGGGGGACGAGGUGUACGUGAAGUUGGACGGCGGCAAGGCUCACGGCGGCAACAACAACAAGUACAGCACCUUCUCUGGCUUUCUUCUGUACCCGGAUUAGGGGUGCGGGCGCGCGGGCUGGGCUGGCUGCGGGCCCGCUGGAGCCCCCGCGGGGGUGCGCGCUGCUCCUUGGCGAGGGGCCACUUUCGUUUCACGACACUUGCUGACAUGUCUGUUGGAAAAGACACAUUCCUUGCUGUUCCUCCUUGCCCUGCCCCCCGGCCUCAGUGCGUCUGCGACUCACCACGCUCUGGGCUGCGCGUCCCCUGCCCCUCAUCCCUGUCCCUAACCGGGGAGGGAGACAGCCAGCCGGGGACGCGCCAUUGGCGAGCUGAGCGUGACCCCAAGCCCUCCCGGCGGAGAGGCAAGCAGACUUUGCAAACCUGAUGGGACUGGACAGGCCUGUGGGGGGUGUGUCCUCUUCCGGAUCUCCUUCCUCCCUCCUGGCCACGGUGUCCUGAGGCCGUGGGCUCCGGGCCAAAGUGAGCAUGGGCUCCUAUAGGCCUCCUUCUUUGUGACCUGAAACACUUGUGCAAAUGUCUCUGUCCAUCAGCCAAAAACCCACUCGCAGCAGAAUUCCAGCACCCAGAAAACUCAUCUUUCUACACUGCACUCCCUCCUGACUCACGUACACAGCGAUGCAUUAAAUUAUGUUUUUAGACCAAGGGCUCCGUUGUCUCUGUCAGAGUGGCCCCUGACCCUGGGGGGACUCCAUGGGUCCACCUUGGCAUAAGGACCUUAGCUGAGCCCAUCUCUGCUCUGCUCUCCCGCUGGCUGCCAAGUCCCUGCCAUCUAGGGUGGGGGAGAACAGCGAGAUGAGUGAUCA
rnacentral:lncRNA from 1 species